GACGAACGCUGGCGGCGUGCUUAACACAUGCAAGUCGAGCGGUAAGGCCCUUUCGGGGGUACGACGAGCGGCGAACGGGUAGAGUAACACGUGGGUGACCUGCCCUCAGCUCUGGGAUAAGCCUGGGAAACUGGGUCUAAUACUGGAUAUGACUCCACGGUGCAUGUCGUGGGGUGGAAAGCCUUGUGCGGCUGAGGAUGGGCCCGCGGCCUAUCAGCUUGUU
rnacentral:rRNA from 1 species